UGUAAGCGUAUACCAAAGUUGUUGCAGUUAAAAAGCUCGUAGUUGGAUUUCUGGUGGGAGCGAUCGGUCUGGCGCUUAGCGCGAGUACUUGCAUCGUCUCCGGCCAUCCUUGGGGAGAGUCUGUCUGGCAUUAGGUUGUCGGGCAGAGGAUCCUCAUCGUUUACUGUGAAAAAAUUAGAGUGUUCAAAGCAGGCUUAUGCCGUUGAAUAUAUUAGCAUGGAAUAAUAAGAUAGGACUUUGGUACUAUUUUGUUGGUUUGCGCACCAAAGUAAUGAUUAAUAGGGACAGUUGGGGGUAUUCGUAUUCCGUUGUCAGAGGUGAAAUUCUUGGAUUUACGGAAGACGAACUACUGCGAAAGCAUUUACCAAGGAUGUUUUCAUUAA
rnacentral:rRNA from 1 species